AGGAGCUUCGUUUGGAGGACUAUCAGGCUAACCGGAAAGGCCCACAGAACCAAGUGGGGGCAGGUACCACAACUGGCUUAUUUGGGUCUUCUCCAGCGACUUCCAGUGCAACAGGACUCUUCAGCUCUUCCACCACUAAUUCAGCCUUUUCAUAUGGUCAGAACAAAACUGCCUUUGGAACUAGCACAACUGGAUUUGGGACAAAUCCAGGUGGCCUCUUUGGCCAACAGAAUCAACAGACUACCAGUCUCUUCAGCAAACCAUUUGGCCAGGCUACAACCACCCCAAAUACUGGCUUUUCCUUUGGUAAUACCAGCACCCUUGGACAACCAAGCACCAAUACUAUGGGCCUAUUUGGAGUAACCCAAGCCUCACAGCCAGGAGGUCUUUUUGGGACCGCUACAAACACCAGCACUGGGACAGCAUUUGGGACAGGAACAGGUCUCUUUGGGCAGCCCAAUACUGGAUUUGGUGCAGUUGGUUCGGUAGGUAUUUGCAGUUGACUGUGAUUUGAAGUUCUUAAAUCUGUUAAAGGAAUAUGUAUAAAAUAAAUAACUAUAUUCAAGACUUU
rnacentral:lncRNA from 1 species